rnacentral:rRNA from 1 species
GAUGAACGCUAGCGGCAGGCUUAACACAUGCAAGUCGAGGGGCAGCGGGGAUGUAGCAAUACAUUCGCCGGCGACCGGCGCACGGGUGCGUAACGCGUAUGCAACCUACCUCAAACAGGGGCAUAACACUGAGAAAGUGGUACUAAUUCCCCAUAACAUCUUGGAGGGCAUCCUCCGAGGUUGAAAACUCCGGUGGUUUGAGAUGGGCAUGCGUUGUAUUAGCUAGUUGGUGAGGUAAUGGCUCACCAAGGCGACGAUACAUAGGGGGACUGAGAGGUUAACCCCCCACAUUGGUACUGAGACACGGACCAAACUCCUACGGGAGGCAGCAGUGAGGAAUAUUGGUCAAUGGACGCAAGUCUGAACCAGCCAUGCCGCGUGCAGGAUGACGGCUCUAUGAGUUGUAAACUGCUUUUGUAUAAGGGUAAACCCUGGGACGUGUACCUGCUUGAAAGUAUCAUACGAAUAAGGAUCGGCUAACUCCGUGCCAGCAG